UACAGAGGUCUCAAGCGUUGUUCGGAUUCAUUGGGCGUAAAGGGUGCGUAGGCGGCGCGGUAAGUCGGGUGUGAAAUCUCGGAGCUUAACUCCGAAACUGCAUUCGAUACUGCCGUGCUUGAGGACUGGAGAGGAGACUGGAAUUUACGGUGUAGCGGUGAAAUGCGUAGAUAUCGUAAGGAAGACCUGCGGCGAAGGCGGGUAGCUGGGCCAACACUGACGCUGAUGCGCGAAAGCAUGGGUAGCGAACAGG
rnacentral:rRNA from 1 species